UAGGGAAUCUUCGGCAAUGGACGAAAGUCUGACCGAGCAACGCCGCGUGAGUGAAGAAUGUUUUCGGAUCGUAAAACUCUGUUGUUAGAGAAGAACAAGGACGUUAGUAACUGAACGUCCCCUGACGGUAUCUAACCAGAAAGCCACGGCUAACUACGUGCCAGCAGCCGCGGUAAUACGUAGGUGGCAAGCGUUUUCCGGAUUUAUUGGGCGUAAAGCGAGCGCAGGCGGUUUCUUAAGUCUGAUGUGAAAGCCCCCGGCUCAACCGGGGAGGGUCAUUGGAAACUGGGAGACUUGAGUGCAGAAGAGGAGAGUGGAAUUCCAGGUGUAGCGGUGAAAUGCGUAGAUAUAUGGAGGAACACCAGUGGCGAAGGCGGCUCUCUGGUCUGUAACUGACGCUGAGGCUCGAAAGCGUGGGGAGCAAACAGG
rnacentral:rRNA from 1 species